CACGGGGGGAGCAAGCGUUGUUCGGAAUCACUGGGCGUAAAGGGCGUGUAGGCGGUCAGGUAAGUGGGAUGUGAAAUCCCUCGGCUCACCCGAGGACCGGCAUCUCAUACUGCUUGGCUUGAGUACGGGAGAGGAUGUGGGAAUUCCUGGUGUAGCGGUGAAAUGCGUAGAUAUCAGGAGGAACACCGGUGGCGAAGGCGCACAUCUGGCCCGAUACUGACGCUGAGGCGCGAAAGCGUGGGGAGCGAACAGG
rnacentral:rRNA from 1 species